UACAGGGGGGGCAAGCGUUGUUCGGAAUUACUGGGCGUAAAGGGCUCGUAGGCGGCCAACUAAGUCACACGUGAAAUCCCCAGGCUCAACCUGGGAACUGCGUGUGAUACUGGAUGGCUUGAAUUCGGGAGAGGGAUGCAGAAUUCCAGGUGUAGCGGUGAAAUGCGUAGAUAUCUGGAGGAAUACCGGUGGCGAAGGCGGCAUCCUGGACCGACAUUGACGCUGAGGCGCGAAAGCCAGGGGAGCAAACGGG
rnacentral:rRNA from 1 species